AAGAUUCUUUGAGCUAUUCCCCAAAAUAAACUUCUUACUCUUACAAGACCUAAGCUUUUCAAGGUCUGCUGAAUUUCUAUAGUCUAUAUAUUUGUAGAUUCCAUUCUGCAAAGUCAUAAGACUGUGCUUGUUACCACUACAUUAAUUAACAGGACAGUACAUCUGGUUGUGCUUAAUACCUAUUAACAACAACAAACUAUCCAAUCCC
rnacentral:lncRNA from 1 species